AUUGAACGCUGGCGACAUGCUUUACACAUGCAAGUCGAACGGUAACAGGUUAAGCUGACGAGUGGCGAACGGGUGAGUAAUGCAUCGGAACGUGCCCGAUCGUGGGGGAUAACGCAGCGAAAGCUGCGCUAAUACCGCAUACGAUCUGAGGAUGAAAGCGGGGGACCUUAAGGCCUCGCGCGAUCGGAGCGGCCGAUGUCAGAUUAGGUAGUUGGGGGGGUAAAGGCUCACCAAGCCAACGAUCUGUAGCUGGUCUGAGAGGACGACCAGCCACACUGGGACUGGGACACGGCCCUGACUCCUACGGGAGGCAGCAGUGGGGAAUUUUGGACAAUGGGCGAAAGCCUGAUCCAGCAAUGCCGCGUGCAGGAAGAAGGCCUUCGGGUUGUAAACUGCUUUUGUACGGAGCGAAAAGGCCCUCUCUAAUACAGUGGGCUCAUGACGGUACCGUAAGAAUAAGCACCGGCUAACUACGUGCCAGCAGCCGCGGUAA
rnacentral:rRNA from 1 species